rnacentral:rRNA from 1 species
GAUGAACGCUGGCGGCGUGCCUAAUACAUGCAAGUCGAGCGAACAGACGAGGAGCUUGCUCCUCUGACGUUAGCGGCGGACGGGUGAGUAACACGUGGAUAACCUACCUAUAAGACUGGGAUAACUUCGGGAAACCGGAGCUAAUACCGGAUAAUAUAUUGAACCGCAUGGUUCAAUAGUGAAAGACGGUUUUGCUGUCACUUAUAGAUGGAUCCGCGCCGCAUUAGCUAGUUGGUAAGGUAACGGCUUACCAAGGCAACGAUGCGUAGCCGACCUGAGAGGGGGUUGCGCCCCCGGGGAGCUGAGCCGCGGCCCAGGCCCUGAGGGAAGGCCGAGGUGGGGACGUUACGGAAAAGGGGGAAACCCUGCCGGAUGAGCGGCGGGGGGGUGAAGAAGUGCUGCGGGUGGGAAAACGGUUUUAUGGGGGAAAAACAAUUUGGUAAGUAACGAAGCCCGUGUGAAGGUAACCGAUAAAGAAACCCCGGCUUACUACGGG